rnacentral:rRNA from 1 species
AGUUUGAUUAUGGCUACAGAACGAACGCUGGCGGCGCGUUUAAGCAUGCAAGUCGAGCGGCAGGGCCUUCGGGCCCCUAGAGCGGCGGACGGGUGAGUAACACGUGGACAAUCUGCCCCCCGGCCCGGGAUAGCCCAGGGAAACCUGGAUUAAUACCGGAUGAGACGGGACCCGCGAUGGCGGGACCCGGGAAGGCGCUGCGGCGCCGCCGGGGGAUGAGUCUGCGUCCCAUUAGCUAGACGGCGGGGUAACGGCCCACCGUGGCGACGAUGGGUAGCCCGGCCUGAGAGGGUGGACGGCCACAUUGGAACUGAGACACGGUCCAGACUCCUACGGGAGGCAGCAGCUAAGAAUCUUCCGCAAUGGGCGAAAGCCUGACGGAGCGACGCCCGCGUGAACGAAGAAGGCCGUGAGGUUGUAAAGUUCUUUCCGGGAGGGGGAACAACCGUGGCAGGGAAUGGCCGCGGGAUGACGUGAAUCCCGGAAUAAGCCCCGGCUAACUACGUGCCAGCCGCUGC